ACACAAGACACAACAACUGAUCUAUUCAACACAGUUCAAUCUACAAACCAGGAACAUUCCCUUGAUUCAACAUGCUGGACCUGGAUUACUGGAUGGUUUAUCUCCAUCUACUGGUUGUUCUCACAGGUGUCGACAGUGAAGAACUGAGUCCAGUCGAGAAUGAAGAGUCCAGUUUAGAAGGAAACUCUGUUACUCUCACAUAUAAAUACUCUAAAACUUUGGCAAUCAAUGAUUAUUUCUUCUGGUAUCGACAAUAUCCAGGAAAGCCACCAGAGCUCCUCAUCUCACACUCAUCCUCAGGAUCAAAAGGAAUUGAAAAUGUUUCUGGACUGAAGAUUAAUGUGGAGAAAAACCUCAUCUCUAUGAGCAUCUCCUCUGCUGCAGUGUCAGAC